AGCGAACGCUGGCGGCAGGCCUAACACAUGCAAGUCGAACGAAGCCUUCGGGCUUAGUGGCGGACGGGUGAGUAACACGUGGGAACGUACCUUUUGGUUCGGAAUAACGCAGAGAAAUUUGCGCUAAUACCGGAUGAGCCCUUCGGGGGAAAGAUUUAUCGCCGAAAGAUCGGCCCGCGUUGGAUUAGGUAGUUGGUGUGGUAAAGGCGCACCAAGCCUACGAUCCAUAGCUGGUCUGGGAGGAUGAUCAGACACACUGGGACUGAGAAACGGCCCAGACUCCUACGGGAGGCAGCGGUGGGGAAUCUUGCGCAAUGGGCGAAAGCCUGACGCAGCCAUGCCGCGUGAAUGAUGAAGGUCUUAGGGUUGUAAAAUUCUUUUACCAGGGACGAUAAUGACGGUACCUGGAGAAAAAGCCCCGGCUAACUUCGUGCCAGCCGCCGCGGUAAUAC
rnacentral:rRNA from 1 species